rnacentral:rRNA from 1 species
AAUGGACGAAAGUCUGACCGAGCGACGCCGCGUGCGGGAUGAAGGCCUUCGGGUUGUAAACCGCUGUCAGAGGGGAGCAAAUUUUGAGCAAUCCUCAGAGGAAGCACAGGCUAAGUUCGUGCCAGCAGCCGCGGUAAUACGAACUGUGCAAACGUUAUUCGGAAUCACUGGGCUUAAAGGGUGCGUAGGCGGCUAUGUAGGUCUGAUGUGAAAUCCCACGGCUCAACCGUGGAACUGCGUUGGAAACCAUGUAGCUUGAGGGAGACAGAGGAAAGCGGAACUGAUGGUGGAGCGGUGAAAUGCGCUGAGAUCAUCAGGAACACCGGUGGCGAAAGCGGCUUUCUGGGUCUCUUCUGACGCUGAGGCACGAAAGCUAGGGGAGCGAACGGGAUU